UUACUAUUCAGUGGAGAACUAUAAGGCCACAUAUGCACCAACUUUUGCACCACUAGAUGAUAAAAGUGAAUGGGUCCAGCAAUGAAGACUUCAUCUGAGACCCAUUUAAAACCGUCACAAUCUGUACAAGUGAGGUUUGAUUUUGCAGUGGGCAGUUUUUGAAGCAAUGACCAGAUUCUCCGCAAGCGUAACAACCAUUCUCUACUGGUAAUUUCACCAUCUUGCAUUUGACAGGAUCGAUGGCAUCGUCAAACCAUUCAAAGUACUGACAGGGCCUAAUUUAUAUGAAUGAAGCUGAAUCUGACCGUUACAAAUCCAACCGUUACAAAUCCGACCGUUGCAAUGAGUCACCGAGUUGACUCGAUACUGGUUUGGUUACGAACUCAGACGAGGGUUAAGUCGUCUUUUACCUAGCAGGUUAACUGCCACGUAGCCAGUUAACUAUCUAAAUUCGUUUUUUGAAAAAAACGGGAUGGAAAA